UAUGGCUUGUGUUCUUCUAUAUGGUGAAGGAGGUGUGGCUUGUGUACUUUUAUAUAGUGAAGGCGGUGUGGCUUGUGUUCUACAUAGUGAAGGAGGUGUGGCUUGUGUUCUUCUAUAUGGUGAAGGAGGUGUGGCUUGUGUACUUUUAUAUAGUGAAGGAGGUGUGGCUUGUGUUCUUCAUAGUGAAGGAGGUGUGGCUUAUGUUCUUCUACAUAGUGAAGGAGGUGUGGUUUGUGUUCUAUAUAGUGAAGGAGGUGUGGUUUGUGUUCUAUAUAGUGAAGGAGGUGUGGCUUGUGUUCUUUUACAUAGUGAAGGAGGUGUGUCUUGUUUUCUUCUACAUAGUGAAGGAGGUGUGGCUUGUGUUCUUUUACAUAGUGAAGGAAGUGUGUCUUGUUUUCUUCUACAUAGUGAAGGAGGUGUGGCUUGUGUUCUUCAUAGUGAAGGAGGUGUGGCUUGUGUUCUUCUAUAUAGUGAAGGAGGUGUGGCUUGUGUUCUUCUAUAUGGUGAAGGAGGUGUGGCUUGUGUUCUACUUAGUGAAGGAGGUGUGGCUUGUGUUCUUCUAUAUGGUGAAGGAGGUGUGGCUUGUGUUCUACUUAGUGAAGGAGGUGUGGUUUGUGUUCUUUUACAUAGUAAAGGAGGUGUGGCUUGUGUUCUUCUAUAUAGUGAAGGAGGUGUGGCUUGUGUUCUUUUACAUAGUGAAGGAGGUGUGGCUUGUGUUCUUUUACAUAGUAAAGGAGGUGUGGCUUGUGUUCUUCUACAUAGCGAAGGAGGUGUGGUUUGUGUUGUUCUACAUAUUGAAGGAGGUGUGGCUUGUGUUCUCCUUGGUGAAGGAGGUGUGGCUUGUGUUCUUGGCAAAUAUCCACUCUUUACAACCAUGCUGAGCAGAAAAGCAUCAUAAUAAAUGUUACAUUUCCAUACAGAAAACUUCACCAUAUCAGCGAUUUUUUUUUCUUCUUUGUUAAAUAACAUAACAUUUUUUAUAUAAUUGUUAACUGUUAACUGACGAUGGACGCAUGUUCAGCGCUGAAAAGGGUGCACUGAGUUUCAUCUGGAGUGUUUGUGUAACAUUAUGUGUGUGUGUGUGGGUGGGUGACUUUGCUCUGGGCCAUGGGUCCUGGCCCUUCUCCAGCACUGCCGUGAUUACACCCCGGAUUUAGCUUUGGAUUGUGAUGAAAAAAAAAAAGCUCAUCAGUCCUCGGGUUUUUCAGCCGAGCGUCUGCUGCCUGGUCCGGAGUCUACUCUCGGCUACAAUCUGCGCCCUCUCAAGUGCUCAUCACGUCCCCUGAGAAGGCUAGUGAGAAAGCGUGCGAGUGAAUCAUUUUGACGCUUGUGCCACAAUAGCUGUUUCUGGAAUGCCAUCCUUCUUCAUUUUUUAGUUUCUAUCGCAGGUUUUUUUUUUGUCCAUUUGUCAAGUUUUUUUUUUUUCCCCAUUACAGCCAGCUUUCCUAUUUUUGUGUCUGUGAAUUUGAUGAUGAGCUCUUGGCUUGUUUGUUUGUUUGUUUGUUUGUUUAUUUAUUUAUUUAUUUUGACACACACACCAUAUGUCGUUGCAGGCUCGUUUGGUUCCUGCCAGUCUGAACGCCAUGACACCGUCUGAGAGAGUGUUGCUUUGCGUGAAGGCUUCGGAAGUCGGGGCACCUCUGAUUUCUCUAGUGAUCAGACACAGACGAGGAACAGAUGUUCAGAAGUUUGCUGAACCAUGGUAUCAUAAGCUGAGUGACUGAUAACACGAUGUACGUGUCAUCUUAAAAAUAUUCGGUGUAGAAUGAUUAAUAUGGUUUUUAAGUCUCUGGAUGCAGUGAAAAUGGCCUUGUAAUGUCUCUGUACAUCUAUCAUCAUAAUAUAGCCUCAUGGUUCUUCUCCACUGUGAAGGAGGUGUGGCUUGUGUUCUUCUCUAUAAUGAAGGAGGUGUGGCUUGUGUUCUUCUCUAUAAUGAAGGAGGUGUGGCUUGUGUUCUUCUCCAUAUUUAAGAAGGUGUGGCUUGUGGUGUUCUCCAUAUUUAAGGAGGUGUGGCCUGUGUUCUUCUCUAUAAUGAAGGAGGUGUGGCUUGUGUUCUUCUCUAUAAUAAAGGAGGUGUGGCUUGUGUUCUUCUACAUAUUUAAGAAGGUGUGGCUUGUGUUCUUCUCCAUUGUGAAGCAGGUGUGGCUUGUGUUCUUCUCCAUAUUUAAGGAGGUGUGGCCUGUUCUUCUCCAUAUUUAAGGAGGUGUGGCCUGUUCUUCUCCAUAUUUAAGGAGGUGUGGCCUGUUCUUCUCCAUAUUUAAGGAGGUGUGGCCUGUUCUCCAUAUUUAAGGAGGUGUGGCUUGUGUUCUUCUCCAUAGUGAAGGAGGUGUGGCUUGUGUUCUUCUCCAUUGUGAAAGAGGUGUGGCUUGUGGUGUUCUCCAUAUUUAAUGAGGUGUGGCCUGUGUUCUCCAUGGUGAAGGACGUGUGGCAUCUGUUCUUCUCCAUAUUUAAGGAGGUGUGGCCUGUGUUCUUCUCCAUGGCGAAGGACGUGUGGCCUCUGUUCUUCUCUAUAGUAAAGGAGGUGUGGCCUCUGUUCUUCUCUAUAGUAAAGGAGGUGUGGCCUCUGUUCUUCUCUAUAGUAAAGGAGGUGUGGCCUCUGUUCUUCUCUAUAGUAAAGGAGGUGUGGCCUCUGUUCUUCUCUAUAGUAAAGGAGGUGUGGCCUCUGUUCUUCUCUAUAGUAAAGGAGGUGUGGCCUCUGUUUCCCAAUGAAGGAGGUGUUUGUCUCUGUAUCUAUCAGUCCCAGUGAAGAAGGUGUGGCCGCUGUAUUUCUCCAUCAUAAUGAAAGAGGUGCAGCUUGUGUGCCUCUCCAUCCCAGUAAAGGACUGUGUCCUUUGUGCCUCUUAUUCCCAGUGAAAAAGACGUGGCUUCUUUAUCUGUUCGUCACAGUGAAGGAGGUGUAAUUGUGAAUUUGUGCUGUUCUGAAAAGGGUGAUAUUGGGCUGUACCGUUAUUAACCCUGAAUUUUUCACACCUCUCCUCUGGUCCAAAGAGUUAGGUAGUAAAGCGUUUGAUUAUUUCCUGUACGCAGGAUAAACACAAGUUUUCAUUCCAUUGCAUCAUUUUCUU
ensembl:lncRNA